rnacentral:rRNA from 1 species
CCCUUAGAUGUUCUGGGCCGCACGCGCGCUACACUGAUGCAUUCAACGAGUCUAAAACCUGCUCUGAUAGGGGUGGGUAAUCUUUUGAAUGUGCAUCGUGAUUGGGAUAGAUGAUUGCAAUUUUUCAUCUUCAACGAGGAAUGCCUAGUAAACGCAAGUCAUCAGCUUGCAUUGAUUACGUCCCUGCCCUUUGUACACACCGCCCGUCGCUCCUACCGAUUGAAUGAUCCGAUGAAUAUCAUGGAUUGAGGAUGCAAGUAGGUUCGCCUAUCUUCAUCUUCGAGAAGUGAAGUAAAUCUUAUCAUUUAGAGGAAGGAAAAGUCGUAACA